rfam:Agrilus planipennis Contig67946, whole genome shotgun sequence.
GGGUUUUUAGUCGGUAGGCGCUCUCUCCGGGAGUGAAUCCGACACUACCUCCCCUAGGGGUGUCUUUAGAAGAUUUCCC